rnacentral:rRNA from 1 species
AGCUCCAAUAGCGUAUAUUAAAGUUGCUGCAGUUAAAAAGCUCGUAGUUGAAUUUCUGGCGAGAGGAUCCGGUCCGACCUUUUGGUGGGUUCUUGGGUCUCUUUCGCCAUCCUUGAGUGGUCCGUUCUGGCAUUAGGUUGUCGGAGCGUCAGCCGCUCAUCGUUUACUGUGAGAAAAUUAGAGUGUUCAAAGCAGGCUUAUGCCGUUGAAUAUAUUAGCAUGGAAUAAUAAGAUAGGACCUCGGUACUAUUUUGUUGGUUUGCGCACCAAGGUAAUGAUGAACAGGGACAGUUGGGGGUAUUUGUAUUUCGUUGUCAGAGGUGAAAUUCUUAGAUUUACGAAAGACAAACUACUGCGAAAGCAUUUACCAAGGAUGUUUUCA